rnacentral:lncRNA from 7 species
CUUUCUGUCACGUCUUCAGGAUUUUCAUCUAGUCUCCCAUUCUGUACUGUAACAUUGUUUACCCAUUGUGGACCACAUAUCAAACUCACUCAUUUGGCUUUAAUGUCUCUAAAAGGAAAUACCAGUUUUAGAGAUGCUUUGAUGACAUGUCAAGAACUUGCAUAGAAUUUUCACUUUCUUCUUUCAAUAUAUGACCCAGCCUGUCCAUCAGGUUCUGGAACAACGUGCAUUUUGGACAUGGAACAUUUUAGUCUGUAUAACCAUUGCUGCAGAUUUGUGUGUUUAUAAAUAAAGCUGAACAAAGAAACAAUAUUACCCUUUUGGAAUAGGGCUUAUAAGCUUUUUGAUGGCUUCUUUAUCCUGGAAAAACCUUUUGCUUUUGGCCUCUUCCCUCGGUUCUCCUUCCUGAAUCUGUCAUCUUUCCCUAAUAAUUAGAAUUUAUACCGAGUAAUCAAGGCUUCGGUUGUGAAGGCUUAAUAAAUAAAAAAUAAUAAAUAAAUAAAUAAAGGCAUCUUAAUUAAUUACAACACGUUCUCCUUGCAGACAAGAAUAGCAUAUAUUUGCUUUAUAAAUCAUGUUUGGAAUAUGUAAAUUACUAUAACAUCAGAUUGUGAAAGUUGGAUAAAAAGCUCUAAAAUUUCAAAUGUUCUAAAGCCAUAAGAAAUUUCCUAUAGGAAUAACACUAAUGAUACUUACUGGGGGAGGAAAAAAUCAUUUGGCUAUGUAAAAUAAAAAUGAAUGGCAAUAUUUUAUGACAGAGUUAGGCUACUAAAUGAGUAAGAGGCAGCAUUUGCUGAACUACCACCAGAAUAGAAAAGUUAAUGAAUAAAUAUGUGAUACACAG